rnacentral:lncRNA from 1 species
AGUGCACUUAGGUGACUCGGCGAGUCUACACGUAUCCAUUAAACCUUUAAUCCCGCAUGACACGUCGAGUCUUUUCCUUGCUCGACGGGUUACACCUGGCAUGAAUCACGGGUCCACCCCGACUCAACUCGCCAAGUCCCAAUAUGAACUUGGCGAGUUCUGCCUUGAACUCCAGUCCUCUAAUUCCUUCUGACUCACUGAGUCAUUCUCCCAACUCGGCAAGUACUCACUGAGUAAACUAUGGGGAAACCCUAACCCUACUCGUCGAGUCUGCUCUUGGUACUCGGCGAGUUCAUGCCAUGCUCGAGCUCAAAUGAGCUCCUGAGGUCAGAUCCGUUCCUCUAACUCAUAGAUAUGGCCUCCUUAAGCAAUAUAAACACGUAAAGUUUGGAUCCUGAUGCCCAUGCAAAGACCCAAUGGCUCUAUUUGAUGAAAUGGCCUCAGUAUGCCACCCUAAGCUCAUAACUCUCAGUGACACCCAUAAAGAUCAAGAAGUUAAGGUCUCUGGACCUCUUUGGAUCUAGAUUGGAAGCCUCAACACAAGAAGGGACCAAUUGCUUCACACAUCACACUCAGAAAGGGGCUAGAAAACCCUAACUCUCAAAGCUUACACGAAAACUGAAAGGGGAUCGAAUAUUUACCCCAAGAUGAAGUCCCUAAGCUUUGAAAUCCACAGAUUAGCGCCCUCUUCAGUUUCCUCUUGCCUUGGUCACCUUCUUCUUGCAAAAUCACCCACACAAGGAUCAAAAAUGGCUUCCUUUCUCUCUCAAAACGUUUACACACUCUGGGGUUUCUCUCUAUCAACUCGUAGCCGCAAAUGAAGGCCAUAAGGGCCUUUAAAUACGCCUCAAACCUUGGGAAUUAGGGUUUCAUUAAACAGCAUGGACUCGUCGAGUCCGGUCAUUAUCCCGGAUGGAAAAUCGCGACACUACUCAGCAAGUCUAAGAAUCAACUCGCCGAGUCCCUCUCAAAAUCUCGAAAAAAAUGAAUGAAUAAUAAUGUACCAGGAAAUCCGGAUGUUACAAGUCUCCCCCACUAGAAUCAUACUUCGCCCUCGAAGUCCCUUUCUACAAAUAACUCUGGAUGCUGCUCGCACAUCUCCAACUCCGGCUCCGAGGUCAUCUCAGAACCCUUCCGAUGUUGCCACUGGACCUGAACCAAUUGCACCUCCUUGUUUCUCAAAGUCUUCAUCCCUCUAUCCCGAAUCGCGAUCGACCUCUCAGAAUAGUUCAAGCUUGCAUCCACCUAAAUGUCCUCUAAUGGAACCACUGCCGACUCAUCAGCGAUGCAAUUUCUCAGCUGAGACACGUGGAAGGUAUCAUGAAUUUGACUCAACUCCGUAGGUAGCUCCAAACGGUAUGCUACCAUGCCCAACCUGGCAGUCACCCUGAAAGGACCAAUAUACCGAGGCCCCAACUAGCAUCUCUUCCUGAAUCGGAUCACUCCUUUCCAAGGAGAUACCUUCAGGAGUACAAAGUCACCAACUUGGAACUCGAGCUCCGAGCGACGCCUGUCUGCGUAGCUCUUCUGACGACUCUGAGCCGUCAGUAACCUCUGUCGGACCUGCUGAAUCUGCUCAGUCGUCUGAAGUACUAUCUCUAUACUACCCAUCACACGCUGACCGACCUCACCCUAGCAAAUGGGAGUCCGACACCUCCUCCCAUACAACAGCUCAAAGGGUGGCAUACCAAUGCUCGAAUGAUGGUUGUUGUAAUAGGAAAACUCAGCCAAAGGAAAAAAUGUGUCCGAACUCCCUCCGAAGUCCAGUACACAUUCCCGAAGCAUGUCCCCGAGCGUCUGAAUCAUCCGCUCGCUCUGCCCAUCGGUCUGUGGGUGGUAUGCAGUGCUAAAACGCAGCCUCAUACCCAAAUCCUCAAGAAACAUCUUCCAGCACCUGGAAGUGAAACGCACAUCUCGAUCUGAGACAAUCGAGAUCGGCACCCCAUGCCGUGAUACCACCUCUUUCACGUACAACUCUGCCAACCUCUCAGUGGAAGAGCUAUCACUGAUAGCAAGGAAAUAAGCGCUCUUCGUCAACCUGUCCACAAUCACUUAAAUUGCAUUGACGCCCUUAGCCGUCCUCAGCAAUUUGGUGAUAAAAAAUCCAUCGUAAUAUGUUCCCACUCCCACUCGGGAACCUCCAACGGCUGCAACUUACCAUGCGGUCUCUGGUGCUCGACCUUAACCCUACGAUAGGUCAAACGCCUCUCAACAAACCAUGCAUCAUCCCACUUCAUACAGGGCCACCAAUACUUUUUCUUCAGGUCCAAAUACAUCUUAGUGGCCCUGGGAUGGAUCGAAAACUUCUAUCUGUGCGCCUCCUCCAUCAAGAUGGUGUGCGUUCUGCCCACAAACGGCACCCAAAUCCGUCCUUGAAAGGUCAUAAGCCCUCGGCUAUCGGUGACGAACUCCGAUACCUGCCCAAUAACCCGCUCCCUCUUACGGUUCUCUGGUCUCAUGGCGUCAAAUACUGGGGUCAUCACUGUCAGCCUCAUACAAACAUCUUGUAUCGGGGCGCCCUCCGCCCUACGACUCAAGGCAUCGGCUACAACGUUAUCCUUUCCCGGGUGGUACAGGAUCUCAAAAUCGUAAUCCUUCACGACAUCCAACCAUCUCCUCUGGCGCAUAUUCAGGUUGGGCUGAUCCAUCAAAUACUUCAGGCUCUUGUGGUCCGUGUAUAUGGUACACCGAACCCCAUACAAAUAUUGACGCCAAAUCUUGAGGGCGAACACCACUGCCCCCAACUCCAGAUCGUGGGUGGGAUACCUCAUCUCAUGAGGCUUCAGCUGCCUCGAUGCGUAUGCUAUCACAUGCCCCCUUUGCAUAAGCACCGCUCCUUACCCCGAUAUCGACGCGUCACAAUACACUACGAAGUCCUCCAUCCCCUCCAGAAGGGCUAUCACCAGGGCUUUGCAUAGUCUCUGGCGAAGUGUCUCGAAGGAGGCCUACUGCUCUAGGACCCAUGAAAAAGCAACACCCUUCCGGGUCAACUUGGUGAGUGGCACGACGAUCUUGGAGAAAUCCCUAAUGAAUCUCCUAUAAUAGCCAGCCAAUCCUAGGAAACUCCUGAUCUCGGUGGGGGAUCUCGGCACCUCCCAACUCAUCACUGCCUCGAUCUUAGCCGGAUCGACCAAAAUCCCAUUUUGGUUAACGAGGUGCCCAAGAAACUGGACCUCCCGUAACUAGAAAUCACACUUGGAGAAUUUGGCGUAAAGCCUCUCCGACCUCAGAACUCCAAGGAUCUCCCUCAAGUGCUCCUCAUGUUGCUCUAUGGAUUUCGAAUACACCAAUAUAUCAUCGAUGAACAUAAUCACCGAGUGGUCCAACAUCGGCAUGCACACUCUGUUCAUGAGAUCCAUGAAUGCUGCUGGUGCAUUGGUGAGCCCGAAAGGCAUCACCACAAACUCGUAAUGCCCGUAACGAGUCUUGAAUGUUGUCUUUUGGAUAUCCUCAUCUCGCACCCUCAUCUGAUGAUAUCCAUACCUCAACUCAAUCUUGGAGAACCAAGAUGCUCCCUACAAUUGAUCGAACAAAUUGUCGAUCCUCGGCAACGGGUAACGGUUCUUGACCAUCAACUUGUUCAACUCCCAGUAAUCAAUGCACAUCCGGUGUCAACCAUCCUUUUUCUUGACAAAGAGGAUAGGCGCUCCCCACGGCGAACUGCUCGGCCGAAUAAACCCCUUCCCCUGCAGCUCCUGAAGCUGCGAGGAUAAGUCCUGCAUCUUUGGAGGUGCAAGGUGAUAGGGCACCUUGGCGAUAGGUGCUGCCCCCUGAACCAAAUCGAUAUACAACUCUACCUGCCUCUCAGGAGGCACGCCUGGCAACUCCUCUGGGAAAACAUCCGGGAACUCUCGCACUAUCAGAACCUCAUCAAUUGUCCUCGGCCUCCCUGAAUCAACCCUUGUAUCCAUCACAUACGCCACAAACCCACUACAGCCCUAUUGUAGACUCUGUCUCGCUCUAGCGGCCGAACAAAAUGCUGAAAUAGAUCAUGUACCCUCGUCGUACACCGUAAGAACUCCCCCACCGGGGUCUCGUAUGGUCACCAGCCGUCUCUCACAGUCGAUAACCACUCCAAAUUUGCUCAACCAGUCCAUGCCCACAAUGACACAGACAUCUCCCAUCGCAAUAGGAACUAAAUCAAUCAGAAACUCAACGCUGAAAAUCUCGAGUACACACCCUCGGAUCACCUCGGUGCCAUACACCACCCUCUCGUCAGCUAUGGAAACUCUCAGAGGUCGACUCAAUGCCUCCCGACUAAUAUUGAUGUGCUGACUAAAAGCCAAAGAUACAAAAGAUCGACUCGCAACCGAGUCAAAUAACACCAAGGCAGGUACAUAACUCACAAGAAAAGUACCUACGUAUAACAUAAUAUAAACACAAUAUCUCAAACAUCAAAAUAAAUACAUGAAAGAAUACAUACCAGCCACGACAUAGAGCGCUACGCGGACCUCCUCCACGGNNNNNNNNNNNNNNNNNNNNNNNNNNNNNNNNNNNNNNNNNNNNNNNNNCUCUCAGUAGCUCUGAUAGCAGCAGGGGCAGAUCCCUGAGGUGCUCCCUAAGCUGUCCCUCGUAACUGUGGACACUCUGCCUUCCGGUGUCCGGUCUGGUUGCAGUAAAAGCAUACUGCAAACCCGUUGGGGCAAUCCUUGGCCAUAUGCCCCUCCUUGCUACAUUUAUAGCAAGACCCCACCCUAAACAUCCCAUCAUGGCUCUUGCCGCACUUGCCACAAGUGCGGCCCUUCUGACUCCCGGAUCACAAAUCAGCGGGCUUGGCUCGCUUGGCUGCCGGCUGAGACUGCGCCGGCCGCGGAUCCUUCCCUUGAGACUCAACCUCCUCCCUAGCCUGGGUCUCUAGCUCUAUCUCCCUCUUCCAUGCAUUUUCCUGAAGCUCAACAAAUGUCCAGUACAUCGACUUCGCCACGAACUCCCGUAUAUCCCUCCUCAAAAUGUUGAGAUAUCGGCUCAUACGUGCCUGCUCGGAGGACACGUGCUCUGGGCAGAACAUCGCCCACUCAUGGAACAUCCUCAUAAUCACUGUGACAGACUUAGUACCCUGCUUGAGGGUCAGAAACUCCUGGGCCAAACGCUCCAUCUCCACCUAGGGAACGUACUCAUCUCGGAACAUAGCAAUGAACCUCUCCCAAGUCAUUACAGCAAGCUCAGCAAGCGAAUAAUGCGCCGUCACAAACUUCCACCACUCCUUUGCUCCCAAGCCAAGCUGGUUCAACGCGAACCGGACUCUCAAAUGCUCUGGAGAUGAGCAAGCGAAGAAACACCCCUCGAUGUCUGAAAGCCACCUCAUCGCUGCAAUCGGGUCCUGGGUCCCAUCAAACUCCGGUGGUUUUGUGUUGCUGAACUCCCGGAACAACAACGCAUCACCACCCCGCAGUCUAGCCGUAGCUAUAGCUGCAGUGGCCGCAGCAACAACAGCAUCAGAAAGAGCAGCGUAUCUCUCGUCAAAUGUCUCUAUCAAGGUGGUCUUGAUAGACCCGAACAUCUCUGGAAUCUCAGCAUGGAUGGCAGCAGCCACCUCAUCAUGGAUCAUCUGGCGGAGCUCCUCGUCGCUCACACCCCCUCCACUAGUCCCUGGUCUGUGGCGUGUCCCCACCAUGAUACCUCUCUGAAAUACAACAUAAGAUAUCAGAGACUCGCUCGGGUGUACACACACUCGAUAUCCCAAUCCUACUUGAUCUCUGGUACCCUAAGGAUUCUUACUAGGGUUGCACACUGAGUAGGUGCCUUAGGUAGUAUGGGCCCAAUACUAGCGACCACACUGCAUCAACAUUCAUCCCAAGUCCUCCUCCUAGAGUCCCAAAUUCCAAGCACUCUACUCUCUUAAAUCAUAUGCUACUCACUAGCUGAUCUCUCACACACUCAAUCAUCCCUAACAACAAAGCUCCUAGACUAAGGCAUCAUAUAUCAGGCCACUCUAGUCCUAAUAAGGAUACCUAGUCUACUCUAGCAUGCAUAAUAUAGCUCAUCACAUAACAUAACAUAAUAUAUCUCGUAACACUUAUUAUAAGGGUAUUUUGGGAAAUCACCGUUCAGGCGUUGGCUGAUCGUACACACGGCUUUGCUCUGUUUGUCUUAAAACUCUUUUAAAAAAAUUGUUUUGUUAUCAUAAUUUUUCUCAAAUCCUCAGUUUGAGAUCAGAUACGCUCGAAGAUGCAUUCGAAUCCCUCAAACCAAGGCUCUGAUACCAACUUGUAACACCGUAAAAUUUAAAACUAUUUUUCACAUUUUCAAUACACAUUUUCCAAAUACAUUUAUUAAUACAAUCUCAUUGUAUCAUAUCUUUGUUUCACAAAACAUUUCCUAAGAUCAAAAUACACAAAAUCCCGUGUGUGUGUGUGUGUACGAAUAAUGCCGACACCUUCCCGUGAUCAUCACUGGUACCUGACACACAUAACACAUAACACCGUAAGCAUAAAGCUUAGUGAGUUCCCCAAAAUACCACUCUAACACAUAUAUUAGCCAGUCAAGGCUAUAACUCUGCUAACCCUCUAGUCAGUGUGUCUCAGUGGGACCCUCUAGUCCCAACUCUAUGUAGGCUCUCUAGCCCUAACUCUAUGGACCCACUAGUCCUAUCUCUAGAAACUCUGAAUCAUGCAUAUCACGUAUCAUAAUAACACACAUAAAUAGCAUACAAAUACACUAGCACAUAACUCAGUAGUAUACUAGCACAUAACUCUGUUACCACUCUAGGUAAGUAUAGUGAGAAGACUCACCUCAGAUGUCUCGGUAAAUCACUGACUCAGUAGAAAUACGGUCUAGCGUCCACCUAAUCACAUAAAGUAAGAUACACUCAUAAAUAUAACUCUCGAGACUAGACUCAACCCUCUCUUGACACAAAGACUCCAUUGUUGACCAACCCCCUAAGUCAACAAAGUCAACGGUCAGACUUUGACCAGACUCGCCGAGUGCACUUAGGUGACUCGGCGAGUCUACACGUGUACACUAAACCUUUAAUCCUGCAUGACACGUCGAGUCUUUUCCUUGCUCGACGGGUUACACCUGGCAUGAAUCACGGGUCCACCCCGACUCAACUCGCCAAGUCCCAAUAUGAACUUAGCAAGUUCCGCCUUGAACUCCAGUCCUCUAAUUCCUUCUGACUCACUGAGUCAUUCUCCCAACUCGGCAAGUACUCACUGAGUAAACUAUGGGGAAACCCUAACCCUCCUCGCCGAGUCUGAUCUUUGUACUCGGCGAUUUCAUGCCAUGCUCGAGCUCAAAUGAGCUCCUGAGGUCAGAUCCGUUCCUCUAACUCAUAGAUAUGGCCUCCUUAAGCAAUAUAAACACGUAAAGUUUGGAUCUUGAUGCCCAUGUAAAGACCCAAUGGCUCUAUUUGAUGAAAUGGCCUCAAUAUGCCACCCUAAGCUCAUAACUCUCAGCGACACCGAUAAAGAUCAAGAAGUUAAGGUCUCUGGACCUCUUUGGAUGUAGAUUCGAAGCCUCGACACAAGAAGGGACCAAUUGCUUCACACAUCACACUCAGAAAGGGGGCUAGAAACCCUAACUCUCAAAGCUUACACCAAAACUGAAAGGGGAUCAAAUAUUUACCUCAAGAUGAAGUCCCUAAGCUUUGAAAUCCACAGAUUAGCACCCUCUUCAGUUUCCUCUUGCCUUGGUCACCUUCUUCUUGCAAAAUCACCCAUACAAGGAUCAAAAUUGGCUUCCUUUCUCUCUCAAAACGUUUACACACUCUGGGGUUUCUCUCUAUCAAAUCGUAGCCGCAAGUGAAGGCCAUAAGGGCCUUUAAAUAUGCCUCAAACCUUGGGAAUUAGG